rnacentral:tRNA from 1 species
GCCGGUGUGGCGGAAUGGGCAGACGCGCGCGACUCAAAAUCGCGUGGGGCAGCCCCCGUGGAGGUUCGACUCCUCUCACCGGCACCA